rnacentral:rRNA from 1 species
UACGUAGGUGGCAAGCGUUAUCCGGAUUUAUUGGGCGUAAAGGGAACGCAGGCGGUCUUUUAAGUCUGGUGUGAAAGCCUUCGGCUUAACCGGAGUAGUGCAUUGGAAACUGGGGGACUUGAGUGCAGAAGAGGAGAGUGGAACUCCAUGUGUAGCGGUGAAAUGCGUAGAUAUAUGGAAGAACACCAGUGGCGAAAGCGGCUCUCUGGUCUGUAACUGACGCUGAGGUUCGAAAGCGUGGGUAGCAAACAGG